ACGGAAGGCAGCAGUGGGGAAUAUUGGGCAAUGGGCGAAAGCCUGACCCAGCAAUGCCGCGUGAAGGAAGAAGGUCUUCGGAUUGUAAACUUCUUUUAUGAGGGACGAAGGACUUGACGGUACCUCGUGAAUAAGCCACGGCUAACUACGUGCCAGCAGCCGCGGUAAUACGUAGGUGGCAAGCGUUAUCCGGAUUUACUGGGUGUAAAGGGCGCGUAGGCGGGGAAGCAAGUCAGAUGUGAAAUCUAUGGGCUUAACUCAUAAACUGCAUUUGAAACUGUUUCUCUUGAGUGCUGGAGAGGUAGAUGGAAUUCCUAGUGUAGCGGUGAAAUGCGUAGAUAUUAGGAAGAACACCAGUGGCGAAGGCGAUCUACUGGACAGUAACUGACGCUGAGGCGCGAAAGCGUGGGGAGCAAACAGGAUUAGAUACCCUGGUA
rnacentral:rRNA from 1 species